GCCAAAUACUCACUCAGUGGGAUUAGGCAACUGACUUUUCUCUCUGCCUCAGUUCCCCCUUACUGCAAGCUGGGCAUGACAAUACCAAUGUUGUAAACAGGGGCAGCUUCAGGUCUGAGGGGCUCCCUGGCAAAAUGCCCUCUGCUAGGCCUCCGCCCUUGAGCUUGCUUGCCAACAGCUGCGAGUUGCCAUUUUUAAACUUCCCACAAUGCCCCUGAAGUCAUGUUGGUCUGGGGAAUUCUGGGAAAUUACAAUGGCAGCCGCAGUGAGGCCACCAAGGGCAGCUAUUUAAAUUUACCCAGAGUGGCGCAGUAUGUCAAGGACCUAUUGCGACCAGGUUUCCGAUGUGGUAAGGAACCGGAUCCAAGAACUGAGUGAUGUUUGUCCCCACAAAACGGACACAACUAUCCUGUUAAGGCGCAAGAGAAAAAAGUCAAGCCCAGCAGCUUCGUCCUGAUGUAUAGUGAGCCCACAAGCCAUGCCACCACACCUUAGGAACUGGGGCCAAAUUACACGUGAAGUUGCUGCACUUAAAUGAGGCUACUUCUGUUUUGAAGACAAAACAGCUGCAGGCCCCUGCUCUGGAUCAGGGCCCUGUGGCAGUUUCCUGCUGAAAAUCACCCUCUUCCUCAGCUGUUCUUUACUCCCACUGGUGCUGCUGACUGCAGGCAUUAACUCUGGAGCCAAAUAGGUUUAAAAAGUUUGAAUUAGGUAGGUUUUAAAGAAAAUUCAAGCAAGACUGGAUUUCUCCAUCAACCUUAGGGGCCCAUGGCUGCGUUUCAGUUUGUAUUUUGCUUUGGAAGUUAGGAGAGGCAGCGCACAUUUUCGUCUCCACGCAAAAAUUCGCUCCUGAAUUAAAAUAAUUGCAACUGAUCAGCCCUUUCAAGUAACAUAACAACACCAUGGUAGGUAACAUAUGUCUAGUUGUUUCCUUAGUUAACAGGUUG